rnacentral:rRNA from 1 species
UACGUAGGGUGCGAGCGUUAAUCGGAAUUACUGGGCGUAAAGUGUGCGCAGGCGGCCGAGCAAGUCGAGUGUGAAAGCCCCGAGCUUAACUUGGGAACUGCGCUCGAAACUACUUGGCUAGAGUGUGGCAGAGGGAGGUGGAAUUCCACGUGUAGCGGUGAAAUGCGUAGAGAUCGGGAGGAACACCGGUGGCGAAGGCGGGUCUCUGGGCAAUUCCUGACGCUGAGGCGCGAAAGCGUGGGGAGCAAACGGG